rnacentral:rRNA from 1 species
AACGAACGCUGGCGGCAUGCCUAACACAUGCAAGUCGAACGAGACCUUCGGGUCUAGUGGCGCACGGGUGCGUAACGCGUGGGAACCUGCCCUUAGGUUCGGAAUAACUCCCCGAAAGGGGUGCUAAUACCGGAUAAUGUCUUCGGACCAAAGAUUUAUCGCCUUUGGAUGGGCCCGCGUUGGAUUAGCUAGUUGGUAGGGUAAAAGCCUACCAAGGCGACGAUCCAUAGCUGGUCUGUGAGGAUGAUCAGCCACACUGGGACUGAGACACGGCCCAGACUCCUACGGGAGGCAGCAGUGGGGAAUAUUGGACAAUGGGCGAAGGCCUGAUCCAGCAAUGCCGCGUGAGUGAUGAAGGCCUUAGGGUUGUAAAGCUCUUUUACCCGGGAUGAUAAUGACAGUACCGGGAGAAUAAGCUCCGGCUAACUCCGUG